AUUGAACGCUGGCGGCAGGCCUAACACAUGCAAGUCGAACGAGUGGCGGACGGGUGAGUAAUGUCUGGGAAACUGCCCGAUGGAGGGGGAUAACUACUGGAAACGGUAGCUAAUACCGCAUACCAUCGGAUGUGCCCAGACGGGCUUAGCUAGUAGGUGGGGUAAUGGCUCACCUAGGCGACGAUGCCUAGCUGGUCUGAGAGGAUGACCAGCGACACUGGAACUGAGACACGGUCCAGACUCCUACGGGAGGCAGCAGUGGGGAAUAUUGCACAAUGGGCGCAAGCCUGAUGCAGCCAUGCCGCGUGUAUGAAGAAGGCCUUCGGGUUGUAAAGUACUUUCAGCGGGGAGGCGUUACCCGCAGAAGAAGCACCGGCUAACUCCGUGCCAGCAGCCGCGGUAAUAC
rnacentral:rRNA from 1 species